CCUGAGAAACGGCUACCACAUCCAAGGAAGGCAGCAGGCGCGCAAAUUACCCACUCCCGGCACGGGGAGGUAGUGUCGAAAAAUAACGAUACGGGACUCAUCCGAGGCCCCGUAAUCGGAAUGAGUACACUUUAAAUCCUUUAACGAGGAUCCAUUGGAGGGCAAGUCUGGUGCCAUCAGCCGCGGUAAUUCCAGCUCCAAUAGCGUAUAUUAAAGUUGUUGCGGUUAAAAAGCUCGUAGUUGAAUCUGUGUAUCACACUGUCGGUACACCGCUCGCGGUGUUUACUGACACGAUGUGGUACGUCCUACCGGUGGGCUUAGCCCCUUGGGGCGGCCCAGCUAACAUCCCUUCACGGUGCUCUUCAUCGAGUGUCGCGUUGGGCCGGUACGUUUACUUUGAACAAAUUAGAGUGCUUAAAGCAGGCUAGCCUCGCCUGAAUACUGUGUGCAUGGAAUAAUGGAAUAGGACCUCGGUUCUAUUUUGUUGGUUUUCGGAACCCCGAGGUAAUGAUUAAUAGGGACAGAUGGGGGCAUUCGUAUUGCGACGUUAGAGGUGAAAUUCUUGGACCGUCGCAAGACGGACAGAAGCGAAAGCAUUUGCCAAAAAUGUUUUCAUUAAUCAAGAACGAAAGUUAGAGGUUCGAAGGCGAUCAGAUACCGCCCUAGUUCUAACCAUAAACGAUGCCAGCUAGCGAUCCGCCGAAGUUCCUCCGAUGACUCGGCGGGCAGCUUCCGGGAAACCAAAGCUUUUGGGUUCCGGGGGAAGUAUGGUUGCAAAGCUGAAACUUAAAGGAAUUGACGGAAGGGCACCACCAGGAGUGGAGCCUGCGGCUUAAUUUGACUCAACACGGGAAACCUCACCAGGCCCCGACACCGGAAGGAUUGACAGAUUGAUAGCUCUUUCUUGAUUCGGUGGGUGGUGGUGCAUGGCCGUUCUUAGUUGGUGGAGCGAUUUGUCUGGUUAAUUCCGAUAACGAACGAGACUC
rnacentral:rRNA from 1 species